UACGGAGGUUGCAAGCGUUAUCCGGAAUGAUUGGGCGUAAAGCGUCCGCAGGUGGCUAUGUAAGUCUGCUGUUAAAGAGUGAGGCUCAACCUCAUAAAAGCAGUGGAAACUACAUGGCUAGAGUGCGUUCGGGGCAGAGGGAAUUCCUGGUGUAGCGGUGAAAUGCGUAGAUAUCAGGAAGAACACCGGUGGCGAAAGCGCUCUGCUAGGCCGCAACUGACACUGAGGGACGAAAGCUAGGGGAGCGAAUGGG
rnacentral:rRNA from 1 species